AAAGGAUGGUGGUAUAGUCCAAGCACUUAGUAAUAAGUGGUGUUAGCGUGAGACAGGUUGGUCCCUAUCUACCGUAGGCGCCGAGGCUUGCGGGGAGUCUUUCCUAGUACGAGAGGACCGGAAAGAACUAACCUCUGGUGUCCCAGUUGUCCUGCCAAGGGCAAGGCUGGGUAGCUAAGUUAGGACAGGAUAAGAGCUGAAAGCAUCUAAGCUCGAAGCCUACCCCAAGAUUAGGCCUCAUUAAGACCCCUCGGAGACCACGAGGUUGAUAGGCUCUAGGUGUAAGUCCCGCAAGGGAUUAAGCCGAGGAGUACUAAUGGUCAAUCUGCAAUUUCAU
rnacentral:rRNA from 1 species